GACCUUUUGUCCAAUGAACUGUGGGGAUCCCUUUCCUCCUCAGGCAGGGGUGAGGCCAAGAUCAGCCUUGAGGAUUGCAGAUCAUCAUAAGCACAGCCAUGAGUCGGGAAUGCCAUUUUCCUACCUCAGACAUUC